rnacentral:rRNA from 1 species
UACGUAGGGGGCAAGCGUUGUCCGGAUUUAUUGGGCGUAAAGAGCGUGUAGGCGGUUUGGUAGGUCCGUUGUGAAAACUCGAGGCUCAACCUCGAGACGUCGGUUGAAACCAUCUGGCUAGAGUCCGGAAGAGGAGAGUGGAAUUCCCGGUGUAGCGGUGAAAUGCGCAGAUAUCGGGAAGAACACCCGUGGCGAAGGCGGCUCUCUGGGACGGUACUGACGCUGAGACGCGAAAGCGUGGGGAGCGAACAGG